UACGUAGGGGGCGAGCGUUGUCCGAAGUUACUGGGCGUAAAGCGCGUGUAGGCGGCUUCUUAAGUGGCCGGUGAAAUCCCCGGGCUCAACUCGGGAGUGUCUGGUCAUACUGGGAGGCUGGAGUACGGGAGAGGAGAGUGGAACUCCUGGUGUAGCGGUGAUAUGCGUAGAUAUCAGGAAGAACACCCGUGGCGAAGGCGGCUCUCUGGACCGUAACUGACGCUGAGACGCGAAAGCCAGGGGAG
rnacentral:rRNA from 1 species